rnacentral:rRNA from 1 species
CGGGGUGAGUAACGCGUGGGCAACCUGCCCCAUAGAGGGGGACAACAGCUGGAAACGGCUGCUAAUACCGCAUAACAAGGAGAGAGCGCAUGUUCUUUUCUUUCAAAGAUUUAUCGCUAUGGGAUGGACCCGCGUCUGAUUAGCUGGUUGGUGAGGUAACGGCUCACCAAGGCGACGAUCAGUAGCCGGCUUGAGAGAGUGGACGGCCACAUUGGGACUGAGACACGGCCCAGACUCCUACGGAAGGCAGCAG